rnacentral:rRNA from 1 species
UACGUAGGGUGCGAGCGUUGUCCGGAAUUAUUGGGCGUAAAGGGCUCGUAGGCGGUUUGUCACGUCGGGAGUGAAAACUCGGGGCUUAACCCCGAGCCUGCUUCCGAUACGGGCAGACUAGAGGUAUGCAGGGGAGAACGGAAUUCCUGGUGUAGCGGUGAAAUGCGCAGAUAUCAGGAGGAACACCGGUGGCGAAGGCGGUUCUCUGGGCCUGUACUGACGCUGAGGAGCGAAAGCGUGGGGAGCGAACAGG